GCAGGUGUGGCGGAAUUGGUAGACGCGCAUGGUUUAGGACCAUGUUCCCUUAUAGGGAGUUGAGGUUCGAGUCCUCUCACCUGCA
rfam:Candidatus Woesebacteria bacterium RBG_13_36_22 RBG_13_scaffold_2864, whole genome shotgun sequence.